AGAGUUUGAUCCUGGCUCAGGACGAACGCUGGCGGCGUGCUUAACACAUGCAAGUCGAGCGGUAAGGCUCCUUCGGGAGUACACGAGCGGCGAACGGGUGAGUAACACGUGAGCAAUCUGCCCUUCACUUUGGGAUAACUCCGGGAAACCGGUGCUAAUACCGAAUGCGACCACUUCAGGCAUCUGACGGUGGUGGAAAGUUCCGGCGGUGAAGGAUGAGCUCGCGGCCUAUCAGCUUGUUGGUGAGGUAAUGGCUCACCAAGGCUUCGACGGGUAGCCGGCCUGAGAGGGUGACCGGCCACGCUGGGACUGAGACACGGCCCAGACUCCUACGGGAGGCAGCAGUGGGGAAUAUUGGACAAUGGGCGAAAGCCUGAUCCAGCAACGCCGCGUGAGGGAUGACGGCCUUCGGGUUGUAAACCUCUUUCAGCAGGGACGAAGCGAAAGUGACGGUACCUGCAAAAGAAGCACCGGCCAACUACGUG
rnacentral:rRNA from 1 species